UACGUAGGGUGCGAGCGUUAAUCGGAAUUACUGGGCGUAAAGCGUGCGCAGGCGGUUAUGCAAGACAGAUGUGAAAUCCCCGGGCUCAACCUGGGAACUGCAUUUGUGACUGCAUGACUAGAGUACGGCAGAGGGGGAUGGAAUUCCGCGUGUAGCAGUGAAAUGCGUAGAUAUGCGGAGGAACACCGACGGCGAAGGCAAUCCCCUGGGCCUGUACUGACGCUCAUGCACGAAAGCGUGGGGAGCAAACAGG
rnacentral:rRNA from 1 species